UCCUGGUUGACCCAGGCAGUCUCAACUGAGAAUACAACAGUUGAUAGGGGUUGCGCUCGUUGCGGGACUUAACCCAACAUCUCACGACACGAGCUGACGACAACCAUGCAGCGCCUGGUCAACAGCUCCUUGCGGCACUACUCCCUUUCGGGAAUAUUCUGUUGAUUUCAAACCCUGGUGAGGUUCUUCGGUCAUUGUCGAAUUAAACCACAUGCUCCACCGCUUGUGCAGGUUCCCGUCAAUUCCUUUGAGUUUUAGUCUUGCGACCGUACUUCCCAGGCGAGACAUUUAACGCGUUAGCUUACGGUUCUGAAAGGGUCGAAACUCCCAAAACCUAAUGUCCAUCGUUUACGGCGUGGACUAC
rnacentral:misc_RNA from 1 species